UUUCAAAAAUGAACAUGGGGUGGUGCCUGUGGCUCAAAGGAAUAGGACACUGGCUUCAUAUGACAGAGGUGGAGAACUCAAACCUAGCCCUGGCCAAAAACUG